AAGGGUCCGUAGAAUAAUAUAUAUAUAUCUAAAAAUAUAUUAGAGUUAAUAAAUUUAAUUAAAGAAUUAUAAUAGUAAAGAUGAAAUAAUUAUAAUAAUUAUAAGACUGGUAUAUGUGAAAAUAUUAAUUAAAUAUUAACUGACAUUGAGGGACGAAAGCUAGAGUAUCAAUACGGAUUCGAUACCCGAGUAGUAAGAGCUGUAAACUAUGAACACCAUAUAAAUAUUAUUGUAUUUAUAUAAAUGAAAAUGUAAGUGUUC
rnacentral:rRNA from 1 species